ACAAGCGGUGGAGCAUGUGGUUUAAUUCGACGCAACGCGAAGAACCUUACCAGGGCUUGACAUCCCCUGACCGCGUAUGAAAGUACGUUUUCACCCUCGGGUGACAGGGAGACAGGUGGUGCAUGGUUGUCGUCAGCUCGUGUCGUGAGAUGUUGGGUUAAGUCCCGCAACGAGCGCAACCCCUACGUUUAGUUGCUAACGCGUGAAGGCGAGCACUCUAGACGAACUGCCGUUGACAAAACGGAGGAAGGUGGGGAUGACGUCAAAUCAUCAUGCCCCUUAUGUUCUGGGCUACACACGUGCUACAAUGGCCGGUACAGACGGACGCAAAGCCGCGAGGUGGAGCAAAUCCUAAAAAAGCCGGUCUCAGUUCGGAUUGCAGGCUGCAAUUCGCCUGCAUGAAGUCGGAAUCGCUAGUAAUCGCAGGUCAGCAUACUGCGGUGAAUACGUUCCCGGGCCUU
rnacentral:rRNA from 1 species